rnacentral:rRNA from 1 species
GGAGGAAUAUUGGUCAAUGGACGCAAGUCUGAACCAGCCAAGUAGCGUGCAGGAUGACGGCCCUAUGGGUUGUAAACUGCUUUUAUGCGGGGAUAAAGUGUGGGACGUGUCCCAUAUUGCAGGUACCGCAUGAAUAAGGACCGGCUAAUUCCGUGCCAGCAGCCGCGGUAAUACGGAAGGUCCUGGUGUUAUCCGGAUUUAUUGGGUUUAAAGGGAGCGUAGGCUGUUGCUUAAGCGUGUUGUGAAAUGCCGCGGCUCAACCGUGGCGCUGCAGCGCGAACUGGGCGGCUUGAGUUACCGGUAGGCAGGCGGAAUUCGUGGUGUAGCGGUGAAAUGCUUAGAUAUGGCGAAGAACUCCGAUUGCGAAGGCAGCUGACGGGAGCGCUACUGACGCUCAUGCUCGAAAGCGCGGGUAUCGAACAGGAUUAGAUACCCUGGUAGU